rnacentral:lncRNA from 1 species
GUGUCCAGCCGGAGCCGCGCGCGAUGAUUCAUUGCCCCAAUUAGGGGCUCUCUGCAGCGCGCCCGGCUCUAGCCGUCUGAAGGGUCUCCUGGGGGACCCGCCGAAACCCAUCAGCGGCUGGAGCUGGUCUUUAAGUAAAGGUCAAUCAGGACGCGGGAGGAGCCAGUUCCCACUCCAGUCCCUGAAUGCCACUUGUGGAUACUCU